GACGUAGGGCGCGAGCGUUGUCCGGAUUUAUUGGGCGUAAAGGGCUCGUAGGCGGCCAACUAAGUCAGACGUGAAAUCCCUCGGCUUAACCGGGGAACUGCAUCUGAUACUGGAUGGCUUGAGUUCGGGAGAGGGAUGUGGAAUUCCAGGUGUAGCGGUGAAAUGCGUAGAUAUCUGGAGGAACACCGGUGGCGAAGGCGGCAUCCUGGACCGACACUGACGCUGAGGAGCGAAAGCGUGGGUAGCAAACAGG
rnacentral:rRNA from 1 species